rnacentral:rRNA from 1 species
CGACCCCAGGUCAGGCGGGAUUCACC